rnacentral:lncRNA from 1 species
CGCAUCCGCUCUCCGCUUUGCCCGUGUCGGGGUCUGCUCAGCGCCGCCCGAACCCUGCUGGGGGAUGCAGGGAGGUCUGUCUCGCGCGUGAACGCGGGGAAAAGAAAAACUUUCCUUUUCUCCUGGAUAAAAAACGUGGAUCCCUGCGUUUUCGGGACCGCGGAUCCGGUCCGUGAUUCCUCUUUUCGGAGCCGUUCAAUGUCUGACGAGCGCAAAGACGGUGAAAAACCUCGCCAAUGAGGCCAGCCGAGGCGCCCGGCCAGGCAGCUGUGCAGCGCGACUCUCUUCCAUAACAGGGCGGGAACGGUCGCAGUCCGAACGAAGACUGCAAACCAGGGGGAGGCGCGGAGAGGGGGAAUCGACGUGUUUUGACACAUCUCGCCGCAUCGGCAGAUUAAACGCUGUGCCGACAGUCGGACGAUUUACCCCUGAGCGUUUUUACGUGAAAAGGUAAACCGUACAGAUCGGAGCUUCCAGGACAGUUUCAACAGCCGCACACAGACUUGUGGGGUGGUGUCGGCGACAAGUUCAGAGGACUGGCGGGACCGGGAGGCCGGAAAAGAGAGAAAACGGAGCAAAAUCCGCCAGAAACAGCGCGAAACAACGCCACGGCCUCAAGAGAGACGCCCGACGCGACACACACGGCAGGGUGAUGUGCACAUGAACCUCAUGUCUUCAUGCCGUGGUGGCGUCACGCAUGCCAACCGAUAGGCUAGACUGAUAUGUUACAGACUCUGUAUGCUGUCUGCUACGCCGUGCGAUAGACUCGAACUCAGCAGCGAACUAGGAU